rnacentral:rRNA from 1 species
GACGAACGCUGGCGGCGUGCUUAACACAUGCAAGUCGAGCGGUAAGGCCCUUUCGGGAGUACACGAGCGGCGAACGGGUGAGUAACACGUGGGUGACCUGCCCUCAGCUCUGGGAUAAGCCUGGGAAACUGGGUCUAAUACCGGAUAUGACUCCAUGACGCAUGUUGUGGGGUGGAAAGCCUUGUGCGGCUGAGGAUGGGCCCGCGGCCUAUCAGCUUGUUGGGGGGUGAUGGCCUACCAAGGCGACGACGGGUAGCCGGCCUGAGAGGGCGACCGGCCACACUGGGACUGAGACACGGCCCAGACUCCUACGGGAGGCAGCAGUGGGGAAUCUUGCGCAAUGGGCGAAAGCCUGACGCAGCGACGCCGCGUGAGGGAUGACGGCCUGGUGU